rnacentral:misc_RNA from 1 species
UCUCCGUUGGUGAACCAGCGGAGGGAUCAUUACCGAGUUAUCAACUCCCAAACCCCUAUGAACAUACCCAACGUUGCUUCGGCGGGACCGCCCCGGCGCCCUCGGCGUCCCGGAACCAGGCGCCCGCCGGAGGACCCAAACUCUUGUUUAAACCAUAGUGGCAUAUUCUGAGUCUCACAAGAAAAAUGAAUCAAAACUUUCAACAACGGAUCUCUUGGCUCUG